UCACAUUUGAAUCUGCAAGCCUGUUGCACAGGAGGGACAGAUUUUCUCUCUGAUGGAGAUUUCAGUUUCUGUAGGGAAUAACCAUUGCCAGAGCUCCUGGACAAGGAGUUCUUGGCCUUAACCAAGCUGUGGACUCUGGGGAACACUACAGCAAACUUGGCAUCAGUAGCGCUGUUCUUCUCAUCCAAGCAUGGGAAGGAACUGGUUCCAUGAAGAGGAGAAUCACCAGGAGGCAAAUCAAUGUGUCCCACUUCCUCUGCCAUUCUGGGACCACCUGUCCCCUCCACUAAUGAAGCAAAAGAUUCUUUGUCCCUCGGCUCAGCCCUCUCCAGCUGUCCAGCUGCACCAGGGAAGGCUUUGCCAGACCAACCAACCCACCCAGCAGUGCUCAGAAUCCGGAUUGCCAUUCUACUUCUGAAUCCAAAAGAGUCAUACCACCAUAGAAUAUGAUAACUUGGAAAGGACCCAUCAGGAUCAUCCAAGUCAGACUCCUGGGCCUGCAGAGGACACCCCAAGAAUCCCUCAUUAGGCCACGUGUCCAUGACUUUCUACAGCUGACAAAGCUCUCCAGACUCUUUAUUUUAUGAGUCAACCCUUUGCUACUUCAGACAUCCACUGGGGCCCCUGUGAGUGAAUGAAGUGCUGAUGGCAGAGCCUGGGUUUGGGUCCCCAGCGCCAAACACUGCAAGGAAAGGCUCCAAACCACAAAACAGAGCACAACUGAAAGAAAUGAUGGAUGAGAGAAAGGAAAACCUGGAGCCAGUUCUGUGGAUUCUCCACAGGCAGAAGAGAAACUUCCAGCCUUCACGGAUUUACAAAUUCUGUCAGUGGGUAACAGAGGAUGGAGCAGUCAAGAUUUUGUUACUGAUUCCUUCUAACUUCACCAAGUGUUACCUUAUUUAAAGGCUGAAAUCCAGCAUCUGGAAGCCUCCAGUCACUUGUUAGACUAUUAUGGGAUGCUGGCAAUAUAUUUACCUGUCUGACACUCUGCCCCUGCACCCCAGUGGCCGUGGGUGCAAUGUCUGUACACAGCCUACAAGCCCCAAAGGGUUUUGGCCAAGGUUUCCUGGAACUUCCAUCCACAGACAUCUCCCUGCCCCAGGGAAGGGGAUGGGGGAAAACACAGUCAAGAUUGCAAUUCAGCAAGCUUUAAAGGCUUUAAACCUUUACAGCUGCUACAAAGUCUGACAAGGAAUGAGAAUUUUUUGCACUUAGUACCUCAGCAAAGAUGGAAAUCCAGCCACUCUCCAUAAUAUCUUAUGACCUGAUUGCAGACUGAAAAUUGUCCAAGCAUAUUUACAAGUUAUUAAAAUAAAUUUUGCAAAAAGGCCAUUAAAAAGUACAUUCCAGUACUCUGGGAGCAACUCUGUAAGAAACCACUCAGUGAAUCAAAAAGUUUGUCUCACCUCCGUCACUCCAAGGAGGGCAGCAAAACCACAUUUGAGAUUUCCACAGCUCAGGAAGGAUGAUGCUCUAAAAAAGCACAUUUGGUGUGUGUAAAGCACAGGGGUUUAUUGCAAAUGUUGGUUCCUUUUCUGUACCACCUAUUUUGUGCUAUUCUGCACCACAGAACAAUCUGCAAUGGGGAAAACCAGCAUUUCCCUUCCCACAGCUAAAACUCUGAUACUGAACCAAAAAGCUGCUGCCCUGAAAGCAGCUACAUACCAAACAAUGUGCCCUAAAAGUUCCCUCUAAACUUGCUUUUUUUGUUCUGGUCUAGAGCUGACUCUGUUGAAACCCUCCAGGACAUUCUGCCCAGUGCAGAGUUCAUUCCUGAAAACCAAUCUUCCUCCCUCCCUCUCUCUGAACAGGACUGUCAUACACAGGUAUCUGGUCACCUCAUUUCAGCCCCCCCCUCCCCACUUAAUACCCCAAUACUCCUGGCCUAGUUCUCUAAAUCCUGCAACAAGACUUUUGUUACUGAGAUUAAUGGCAGCUGAAUUAGACCCUAAAUCCUCAGUACAGAAUAGUUGUUAAUAUCCUGUCCUCCUGGGGGCUUAAAGUUGAUUCAGCUUCUCUACAAUGCCAAAUGCAGGACAAAAUAAUAAAUAAAGGUCUGCUUUUAUGUGCUGCUGCUA